GUUGUAACGGCAAGAAAUAUACAUGACAAGUCGAACGCACAGCGAAAGGUGCUUGCACCUUUCAAGUGAGUGGCGAACGGGUGAGUAACACGUGGACAACCUGCCUCAAGGCUGGGGAUAACAUUUGGAAACAGAUGCUAAUACCGAAUAAAACUCAGUGUCGCAUGACACAAAGUUAAAAGGCGCUUUGGCGUCACCUAGAGAUGGAUCCGCGGUGCAUUAGUUAGUUGGUGGGGUAAAGGCCUACCAAGACAAUGAUGCAUAGCCGAGUUGAGAGACUGAUCGGCCACAUUGGGACUGAGACACGGCCCAAACUCCUACGGGAGGCUGCAGUAGGGAAUCUUCCACAAUGGGCGAAAGCCUGAUGGAGCAACGCCGCGUGUGUGAUGAAGGCUUUCGGGUCGUAAAGCACUGUUGUAUGGGAAGAACAGCUAGAAUAGGGAAUGAUUUUAGUUUGACGGUACCAUACCAGAAAGGGACGGCUAAAUACGUGCCAGCAGCCGCGGUAAUACGUAUGUCCCGAGCGUUAUCCGGAUUUAUUGGGCGUAAAGCGAGCGCAGACGGUUGAUUAAGUCUGAUGUGAAAGCCCGGAGCUCAACUCCGGAAUGGCAUUGGAAACUGGUUAACUUGAGUGCAGUAGAGGUAAGUGGAACUCCAUGUGUAGCGGUGGAAUGCGUAGAUAUAUGGAAGAACACCAGUGGCGAAGGCGGCUUACUGGACUGUAACUGACGUUGAGGCUCGAAAGUGUGGGUAGCAAACAGGAUUAGAUACCCUGGUAGUCCACACCGUAAACGAUGAACACUAGGUGUUAGGAGGUUUCCGCCUCUUAGUGCCGAAGCUAACGCAUUAAGUGUUCCGCCUGGGGAGUACGACCGCAAGGUUGAAACUCAAAGGAAUUGACGGGGACCCGCACAAGCGGUGGAGCAUGUGGUUUAAUUCGAAGCAACGCGAAGAACCUUACCAGGUCUUGACAUCCUUUGAAGCUUUUAGAGAUAGAAGUGUUCUCUUCGGAGACAAAGUGACAGGUGGUGCAUGGUCGUCGUCAGCUCGUGUCGUGAGAUGUUGGGUUAAGUCCCGCACGAGCGCAACCCUUAUUGUAGUUGCCAGCAUUCAGAUGGGCACUCUAGCGAGACUGCCGGUGACAAACCGGAGGAAGGCGGGGACGA
rnacentral:rRNA from 1 species